rnacentral:rRNA from 1 species
AGCGAACGCUGGCGGCAGGCCUAACACAUGCAAGUCGAACGAACCUUUCGGGGUUAGUGGCGGACGGGUGUGUAACACGUGGGAACGUGCCUUUAGGUUCGGAAUAACUCAGGGAAACUUGUGCUAAUACCGAAUGUGCUCUUCGGGGGAAAGAUUAAUCGCCUUUAGAGCGGCCGGCGUAUGAUUAGCUAGUUGGUUGAGGAUAUGGCUCACCAAGGCGACGUUCAGUAGCUGGUCUGAGAGGAUGAUCAGCCACAUUGGGACUGAGACACGGCCCAAAAUCCUACGGGAGGCAGCAGUGGGGAAUCUUGCGAAAUGGGCGAAAGCAUGACGCAGCCAUGCCGCGUGAAUGAUGAAGGUCUGAGGAUUGUAAAAUUCUUUCACCGGGGACGAUAAUGACGGUACCCGGAGAAGAAGCCCCGGCUAACUUCGUG